rnacentral:rRNA from 1 species
UAGUCAUAUGCUUGUCUCAAAGAUUAAGCCAUGCAUGUCUAAGUAUAAACAUCUUUAUACAGUGAAACUGCGUACAGCUCAUUAUAUCAGUAAUUAUUUAUUUGAUGGUACCUUACUACAUGGAUAACCGUAGUAAUUCUAGAGCUAAUACAUGCGUAAAAUCCCGACUGCAAGGAAGGGAUGUAUUUAUUAGAUAAAAAAUCAAUGCCGCAAGGCUUUAUUGGUGACUCAUAGUAACUGAUCGAAUCGCAUGGCUUUAUGCUGGCGAUAGUUCAUU